rnacentral:rRNA from 1 species
UACGUAGGGGGCGAGCGUUGUCCGAAGUUACUGGGCGUAAAGCGCGCGUAGGCGGUCAUUUAAGUUCGGGGUGAAAGGUUCAGCGCUCAACGCGAACAGUGCCUUGAAUACUGGGUGACUUGAGUUCGGGAGAGGGCAGUGGAAUUCCUGGUGUAGCGGUGAAAUGCGCAGAUAUCAGGAGGAACACCGGUGGCGAAGGCGGAUCUCUGGGCCGAUACUGACGCUGAUGCGCGAAAGCUAGGGGAGCGAACGGG